rnacentral:rRNA from 1 species
GACGAACGCUGGCGGCGCGCCUAAUACAUGCAAGUCGAACGGGGCAGUCUUCGGACUGUCAGUGGCGGACGGGUGAGUAACACGUGGGUGACCCUGCCCUGUAGUGGGGAAUAACUCUGGGAAACCGAGGGCUAAUACCGCAUAUGCUUGGUGUUUCGAUAGAUCAAGUAAAGAGAAUCGCUACAGGAGGGGCCUGGCCGCCGGAUUAGCUAGUCGGU